AUUGAACGCUGGCGGCAUGCCUUACACAUGCAAGUCGAACGGCAGCACGGGAGCAAUCCUGGUGGCGAGUGGCGAACGGGUGAGUAAUAUAUCGGAACGUGCCCAAUCGUGGGGGAUAACGCAGCGAAAGCUGUGCUAAUACCGCAUACGAUCUACGGAUGAAAGCGGGGGACUCGCAAGAGCCUCGCGCGAAUGGAGCGGCCGAUAUCAGAUUAGCUAGUUGGUGGGGUAAAAGCUCACCAAGGCGACGAUCUGUAGCUGGUCUGAGAGGACGACCAGCCACACUGGAACUGAGACACGGUCCAGACUCCUACGGGAGGCAG
rnacentral:rRNA from 1 species